rnacentral:rRNA from 1 species
UACGAAGGGGGCUAGCGUUGCUCGGAAUCACUGGGCGUAAAGCGCACGUAGGCGGAUCGUUAAGUUGGGGGUGAAAUCCUGGAGCUCAACUCCAGAACUGCCUUCAAUACUGGCGAUCUAGAGUCCGGAAGAGGUGAGUGGAACUCCUAGUGUAGAGGUGGAAUUCGUAGAUAUUAGGAAGAACACCAGUGGCGAAGGCGGCUCACUGGUCCGGUACUGACGCUGAGGCACGAAAGCGUGGGGAGCAAACAGGA